AAGGAUUUUAGUCCUACCUUAAGUUCUUCCUUUAUUAAUAAAACAACUCUGAACUUAAGAGCUAUUCAAACAAGGUACAGCCUGUUUGAAACAGGGAACAACCUCAAAAAUAGGGUAACUCCAAAUGACAGGUGUCCAAGUGGGCCUAAAAGCAGCCAACUUUUAAAAAGCGUUACAGCUUCCUCACCAGUCACUUUAAUACCAAAAACACUACAUAACCCUCACCCAGUACUAAAUAACUCUAUACCCCUAUAGAAAUUAUUAUGCUAAAACUAGUAACAUGAAGAAGCCCUUCUCCUAAAUGUACAUGUACGCCAAAAAGAACAAUUCAUUGGCAUUUAACGCUACUGAUCCUAAAGCAACAACUAUACAAGAGAAUCUUGCUAACACCAACGUUAACCUAACACAAGAACAUUUCAGGAAAGAUUAAAAGAGGUGGAAGGAACUCGGCAAAUUUUAACCCCGCCUGUUUACCAAAAACAUCGCCUCCUGCAACAUAUAGGAGGUCCAGCCUGCCCAGUGACCAAGUUAAACGGCCGCGGUACCCUAACCGUGCAAAGGUAGCGUGCGG
rnacentral:rRNA from 1 species